rnacentral:rRNA from 1 species
CCUACGGGGGGCUGCAGUGGGGAAUAUUGCACAAUGGGCGAAAGCCUGAUGCAGCGACGCCGCGUGAGGGACGACGGCCUUCGGGUUGUAAACCUCUUUCAGCAGGGACGAAGCGAAAGUGACUGUACCUGCAGAAGAAGCACCGGCUAACUACGUGCCAGCAGCCGCGGUAAUACGUAGGGUGCAAGCGUUGUCCGGAUUUAUUGGGCGUAAAGAGCUCGUAGGCGGUUUGUCGCGUCGGAUGUGAAAACCUAUGGCUUAACCAUGGGCCUGCAUUCGAUACGGGCAAACUAGAGUUCGGUAGGGGAGACUGGAACUCCUGGUGUAGCGGUGAAAUGCGCAGAUAUCAGGAAGAACACCGGUGGCGAAGGCGGGUCUCUGGGCCGAUACUGACGCUGAGGAGCGAAAGCGUGGGGAGCAAACAGGAUUAGAUACCCCAGUAGUC